UAUACUAGCCACAGUUAAUUAAAAUUAAAAACAGUAUUACUUACAGUAGCAUCCAAAAUGUGGAAUAUUAUCAGAGUUGUACACUUCAGGCCUAUAUAAUUUUAUUAACCAAUGUCACCCCCAAUAAUUUAAAUAAAAGUAAAAGAAAAAUAUGAAAUAUUAUAUAUACUAUAUAACCAUAUUUUAUAUGAAAUGUGUAUUUCAUAUAGAUUCUGACAAAAGAUGGGGGAAAACCUGUAUACUGAAAAUUAUAAGUUAUUGAGAGAGAUAUAAAGAAGACCUAAAUAACAAGAGGGAUAUUCAAUGUUUAUUGGUUGGAAAACUUUAUAUUUUGAACGUAAAUUUUCCCAAAGUUGAUACAUAGAGGCAAUGAUGUCCUGACCAAAAUUCUAGCAGGCUUUUUUGCAGAAUUUGGAAAACUGAUUCUAAAAUUUGUGUAGAAUUCCUAAGGCCACAGAUUCUAGGACCUAGAUAACUAAAACAACUUUAAAAAGGACAAUGUUGAAGAGUAAUACUAUAUGGUUUCGAUUUUUAUUUUAAAGCUACAAUAAUCAAGAUUAUCUUAUCAAUGAAAUAUAUAGAGGGGUCAUAAGUAGGGCCAGACUUAAGGACUACUGAUUUUCAACCAAAAUGGAAAGCAUAAUCUUUUCAACAAAUGGUGAUUGGAACUAUUAGAUAUCCAUAUACAAGAG